CCUACGGGAGGCUGCAGUGGGGAAUAUUGCACAAUGGGGGAAACCCUGAUGCAGCGACGCCGCGUGAGUGAAGAAGUAUUUCGGUAUGUAAAGCUCUAUCAGCAGGAACGAGACAAGACGGUACCUGACUAAGAAGCCCCGGCUAACUACGUGCCAGCAGCCGCGGGAAUACGUAGGGGGCAAGCGUUAUCCGGAAUCACUGGGUGUAAAGGGAGCGUAGACGGCUGAGCAAGCCUGAAGUGAAAGGCGGGGGCCCAACCCCCGGACUGCUUUGGGAACUGUACGGCUGGAGUGCAGGAGAGGUAAGUGGAAUUCCUAGUGUAGCGGUGAAAUGCGUAGAUAUUAGGAGGAACACCAGUGGCGAAGGCGGCUUACUGGACUGUAACUGACGUUGAGGCUCGAAAGCGUGGGGAGCAAACAGGAUUAGAUACCCCAGUAGUC
rnacentral:rRNA from 1 species